GUCAGGGGCAAGGGCACAUUGCACACACAAAACCAAGUGUAGUGGUUUUAAAGAUAAACUGUCUCUUUGGAGACAUUGUUGAGGAGGGUAGACGUGAGAGAGGUGGGUUUUGGGGAGUUGGGGUUUUGCUGGCUGGGUGCCACCCAUCUACUAGGUUGGUUAUUCAAUUUGUUAAAAUAUUUAGGUUUUUAUUCAUAAAUUUAAUCUCGUGCAUUACUGUAUAAAUUUGCCAAAAUCCAAGUCG
rnacentral:misc_RNA from 1 species